rnacentral:rRNA from 1 species
CCUACGGGAGACAGCAGUGAGGAAUAUUGGUCAAUGGACGCAAGUCUGAUCCAGCCAAGUAGCGUGCAGGAUGACGGCCCUCCGGGUUGUAAACUGCUUUGAGUUGGGAAUAACAGGGGGCUCGUGAGCCCCGUAUUGUAUGUAACAUAAGAAACCGGACCGGCUAAUUCCGUGCCGGCAGCCGCGGUAAUACGGAAGGUCCGGGCGUUAUCCGGAUUUAUUGGGUUUAAAGGGAGCGUAGGCCGGCUUUUAAGUCAGCAGUGAAAGUCCGCGGCCCAACCGUGGACUUGCAGUUGAAACUGGAUGCCUUGAGUGCACGCAGGGAUGCCGGAAUUCAUGGUGUAGCGGUGAAAUGCGUAGAUAUCAUGAAGAACACCGAUCGCGAAGGCAAGUGUCCGGGGUGCAACUGACGCUGAGGCUCGAAAGUGCGGGUAUCAAACAGGAUUAGAUACCCUGGUAGUC